GUGUUCACUUUGGCAGCACAAAUACUAAAUUUGGAAUGUACAGAGAAGAUUAGCAUGGCCCCUGUGCAAGGAUGACACGCAAAUUUCUGAAGCAUUCCAUAUUUUU
ensembl:snRNA U6 U6 spliceosomal RNA